rnacentral:rRNA from 1 species
CUACGGGGUGCACCAGUGGGGAAUAAUGGACAAUGGGGGAAACCCUGAUCCAGCAAUGCCGCGUGUGUGAAGAAGGCCUGCGGGUUGUAAAGCACUUUCGGUUGGGAGGACUGCUUCUAGCACUAAUAUUGUUGGAAGUUGACGUUACCUUCAGAAGAAGCACCGGCUAACUCCGUGCCAGCAGCCGCGGUAAUACGGAGGGUGCAGGCGUUAAUCGGAAUUACUGGGCGUAAAGCGCGCGUAGGCGGCUAGAUCAGUCGGGUGUGAAAGCCCCGGGCUUAACCUGGGAACUGCAUCCGAUACUGUCUAGCUUGAGUACAGGAGAGGAGAGUGGAAUUCCACAUGUAGCGGUGAAAUGCGUAGAUAUGUGGAGGAACACCAAUGGCGAAGGCAGCUCUCUGGCCUGAUACUGACGCUGAGGUGCGAAAGCGUGGGGAGCAAACAGGAUUAGAUACCCCAGUAGUC